rnacentral:misc_RNA from 1 species
AACGCACCUUGCGCCCCUUGGUAUUCCAAUGGGCAUACCUGUUUGAGUAUCAUGAAAUAUUUCUCAAAGAAGUGGUGACACUCUCUUAAAAAAGAGUUCAUAUUUCCUUGGAUUUGGAUGUUAUUGCUAUAAAAAGCUCAUCCUAAAUGAAUUAGCUUGAAGAAAGGAAUAAUUGUUUCUGCACUUUGGCAUAAUAAAUUUAUUUUGUUGCUUCAGUUGGAGAUGAAAGUUCAUUAUAAUCAAGCUUCAAAAGCAAACAUGGGGAAAUUGAAGAAAGAAGUUCCUCUCUUAAGAGGGUUGUUAGCAUCGAUCUUUUUGAUUUCCAAAUGUAUUUCAUUGAAAUUUGAUCUCAAAUCAGGUAGGACUACCUGCUGAACUUAA